rnacentral:rRNA from 1 species
AUUGAACGCUGGCGGCAGGCCUAACACAUGCAAGUCGAGCGGAUGAAGGGAGCUUGCUCCUGGAUUCAGCGGCGGACGGGUGAGUAAUGCCUAGGAAUCUGCCUGGUAGUGGGGGAUAACGUCCGGAAACGGGCGCUAAUACCGCAUACGUCCUGAGGGAGAAAGUGGGGGAUCUUCGGACCUCACGCUAUCAGAUGAGCCGAGGUCGGAUUAGCUAGUUGGUGGGGUAAAGGCCUACCAAGGCGACGAUCCGUAACUGGUCUGAGAGGAUGAUCAGUCACACUGGAACUGAGACACGGUCCAGACUCCUACGGGAGGCAGCAGUGGGGAAUAUUGGACAAAGGGCGAAAGCCUGAUCCAGCCAUGCCGCGUGUGUGAAGAAGGUCUUCGGAUUGUAAAGCACUUUAAGUUGGGAGGAAGGGCAGUAAGUUAAUACCUUGCUGUUUUGACGUUACCAACAGAAUAAGCACCGGCUAACUUCGUG